rnacentral:lncRNA from 1 species
UUUUCUCGAAAUGAGUAAAGGUUGGGCAUUUUUGCCAAUCUGCCUUGCCACGGAGCAUAGAGGUUGACACACAUUGGGACUUUCUAGUUAUCAAGCAGUGGUGCUGUUCAUUUACCCUUAUAAGUAAUAGUAGGGUAGCUGGACCUUCAAAAUUUAUGUGUCUAAACUUUGUCACAGGUCUUUGGCAAAGUUAUAUGUGGUACCUGAGGAGCUGAUGUUACGUGUGGAAAGUGGUGCCUCUUCGAAAUCCGGAUAGUGGUGCCUCUUCGAAAUCUGGAGAGUGGUGUUUCUUCGAUUUUUGAAUCAACGGCCCUACUGC